CAAUAAAUAUUAUUUUAUUUUGGUUAAUAUUUUUAUUAUUAUUUUAUUUUACAUGUAAAUUUUUGUGUGAAUUGUUUUAAUUUUUAAAAAAUUUUAAUAAUUAAUUUAUUCGCAGUAAUUGAUAUUAAUUAAAAAAGAAAUUUUGUAUUAGUAAUAAUAUAUAGUAUUGGUAAAAUUUGUGCCAGCUACCGUGGUUAUACAAAUAAUGCAAGUAAAAAUUUUUAGUAUUAGUUAAAUUAUAAAUUUUUAUAAUAUAAAUAUAAAUUUAUUAGGUGAAAUUUUUAAAUUUAUUAAUUUAUUAUAUUAAAAAAUAAUUUAAGCUAUAAACUUUUUGUAAUAAACUAGGAUUAGAUACCCUA
rnacentral:rRNA from 1 species